rnacentral:rRNA from 1 species
UGCCAGCAGCCGCGGUAAGACGUGGGGGGCCAGCGUUGCUCGGAAUUACUGGGUGUAAAGGGUUCGUAGGCGGUGUGGCAAGUCGGGAGUGAAAUCUCUGGGCUUAACUCAGAGACUGCUUCCGAAACUGCUGUGCUUGAGUGUGGGAGAGGCGCGUGGAAUUGCAGGUGUAGCGGUGAAAUGCGUAGAUAUCUGCAGGAACACCCGUGGCGAAAGCGGCGCGCUGGACCACUACUGACGCUGAGGAACGAAAGCUAGGGGAGCAAACAGGAUUAGAUACCCUGGUAGUCCUAGCCCUAAACGAUCAGGACUUGGGGUGCCACCCGUUCGGGUGUCGUCCCGGAGCUAACGCGUUAAGUCCUGCACCUGGGGAGUACGGUCGCAAGACUGAAACUCAAAGGAAUUGACGGGGGCCCGCACA